AGCAGCCUUUGGAUGAAGACAUAGAACUCUGAGCUCCUCCUUCGCCAUGCCUGCCUGGAUACUGCCAUGCUCCCACCUUGAUGAUAAUGGAUUCAACUUCUGUCUUAGUUAGGGUUUUACUGUUGUGAACAGACACCAUGACCAAGGCAAGGUUUGCAUGCCCAAAGAUGAUACUCCAUGUUACAUUUGCCAUGUGUGUGCACUCUACAUAAGCACAAGCAGAUGGCUUAAUGAAGGCAAGAAUAUCUCACUAUUUAGCCCAAGUGGCCUGAAUACCUUGCUAUGUAGCCCAAGUUGAUGCUGAACUCAAUAUGGUCCCUGCCUAAGCCUCCUGAGUGCUGGGAGGAUGGUUAUGUAUUACCUUGUCUGGAAACAAUGUAUAUUUAAGGACAGCCAUGAAGAAGGAUGACCUUUAUUCUCUCUACUGAGGACAAGAACAAGACUCUUUGGUGGAAGUUUGUGGAAGAGUAACAAGUGCACUCAGUCCCCACGAUGUGCGAUGGUUACAUCCUGCAUGCUUGCUGCAGAAACAGAAUUGGUAAAUCCUGGAGAACCGACAGCUCUUCAAGGACACAGAGCCCUAAUCUUUCCUGAAAGCCUCUGAGCAGAUAGUUCUCAGCAACAAACACACGGCUUUGUUUUAUGAAGGUUUCUCUUGGAAGACUCGCUAUUUGACAUAUUCAUUAACAUGGAACCCAACAGCCAAUAGUACCCUGACUGUAACUCAUACAUGAGAACAGUUUAUCUAACACUUGUAUUUUUCUCCCUAUAAGAUACGUCACAGCCUCCAUGAGCACAGACACACCAGGGCAUUUUAGCAUUGCACUUAGAAGCCGUGUCAAGUAGCAACACUCUUUAAAAUGCCAAAAUAGACACGAAAUGGAGCAUCAAGUAGCAUGAUGUUUUUCUUGUACCCUUCUUCAUGAAUUGACCUCAAAAGCUCCUGUAAUUUGUGAGUUACAAAUAAAUUUUAACAAGUGAGCUCACUUGCCAGUGGCCAACUGGAUUCCCUUUCUAAGGGAAAGAGUCAAUUGCAUUUUUAAACACAUCCAGUGAUUUUGAAUUUAUAGGUCUUUGCCCUCAGUGAAUAAGAAAAUAAGAAUAACAUUUCACUUGAAAUGAUAAAAUAAAUUCUUGAAAAUAUACUUCAGAGCCAAGGAUUUUCCAACUAUCAGAACACAUCAGAGAGUGAGGGCUACUCACUGGCAUUAAGAUAUAUCGAGAAAAAUUAUAAGAUUUCCAGUAUGGGAGCAUUUUAAUUUUGCAGCUUAGGCCUGGGGGUCAUAGCUUAGUACAAAGCACCUACCUAAGCAUGCAGGAGGUCCUAGGGUUAAUCCUUUGUAAUACACACACACACAAACACACAUACACACACACACACAAACACACAUACACACACACACACACAAACACACAUACACACACACAAACACACAUACACACACACACACAAACACACAUACACACACAUACACACAAACACACAUACACACACACAAACACACAUACACACACACACACAAACACAUACACACACAUACACACAAACACACAUACACACAAACACACAUACACACACACAAACACACAUACACACAAAUACACAUACACACACAUACACACACACAAACACACAUACACACACACACACAUACAUACAUACAUACACACACACACACACACACACACACACACACACACACACACUGUUCCUCAUCAUGGCAAUCCUGAGGACAUCAGCUGUUCCCUUGUUUCAUCAACUCUAAUGCUGUUUGUCUCCUUCCAUUUUGAUCCCUGAUACACAUGGCCACAAAGUGAACUCCCUCAGUAACAGGACUCACCUGACUGUGACAAUUUGUAUAUGCUCUGGCCAGGGAGUGGCACUAUUAGAAGGUGUGGCCCUGUUCAAGUAGGUGUGGCCUCUUUGGAGUAUGCGUAGCACCAUGGGCAAGAGCUUUAAGACCCUCAUCUUGGCUGCGCGGAAGCCAGUAUUCUGCUAGGAACCUUCAGAUGAAGACAUAGAACUCUCUGCUCCUCCUGUGCCAUGCCUGCCUGGAUGCUGUCAUGUUCCUCCCUUGAUGAUAAUGGACUGAACAUCUGAACCUGUAAACCAGCCCCAAUUAAAUGUUGUCCUUAUAAAGGUUGCCUUGGUCAUGGUGUCUAUUCAUAGCAGUAAAACCCUAAGACACUGCCCAUCAGCAAACCUCUUCUUCAUCACCACACAUCCCACUCUCCACUUCUAUUCCAU
rnacentral:lncRNA from 1 species